rnacentral:rRNA from 1 species
GGGUCAGUAGGUUGGUCGUGCCACCGGUACGUACUGGUCUCACUGAUUCCUCCUUCCUGAAGAACCGUAAUGCCAUCAAUUUGGUGUUGCGGGGAAACAGGACUGUUACUUUGAAGAAAUUAGAGUGUUUAAAGCAAGCUAACGCUUGAAUACAUUAGCAUGGAAUAAUGAAAUAGGACGAUCGAUCCUAUUUUGUUGGUUUCUAGGAUUGACGUA